GACAGAGGGUGCAAGCGUUGUUCGGAAUUACUGGGCGUAAAGAGCGUGUAGGCGGGAGGGUCAGUCUGCUGUGAAAUCCUGCGGCUCAACCGUAGAAGUGCAGUGGAUACUACCCUUCUUGAGUACGUCAGAGGAGAGUGGAAUUCCCGGUGUAGAGGUGAAAUUCGUAGAUAUCGGGAGGAACACCAGUGGCGAAAGCGACUCUCUGGGGCGAUACUGACGCUGAGACGCGAAAGCGUGGGGAGCAAACAGG
rnacentral:rRNA from 1 species